rnacentral:rRNA from 1 species
UACGAAGGGGGCUAGCGUUGCUCGGAAUCAUGUCGUGGGCGUAAAGCGGCACGUAGGCGGCUUUUUAAGUCAAGGGGUGAAAUCCUGGAGCUCAACUCCAGAACUGCCUUUGAUACGUGAGAGCUUGAGUCCGGGAGAGGUGAGUGGAACUGCGAGUGUAGAGGUGAAAUUCGUAGAUAUUCGCAAGAACACCAGUGGCGAAGGCGGCUCACUGGCCCGGUACUCGACGCUGAGGUGCGAAAGCGAUGGGGAG